UAAUACAGAGGGAGCAAGCGUUGUUCGGAAUUACUGGGCGUAAAGGGCGCGUAGGCGGUUCGAUAAGUCCCGUGUGAAAUCCCUCGGCUCAACUGAGGAAUGGCACGGGAAACUGACGGGCUUGAGUUCGGGAGAGGGAAGCGGAAUUCCGGGUGUAGCGGUGAAAUGCGUAGAUAUUAGGAAGAACACCAGUGGCGAAGGCGG
rnacentral:rRNA from 1 species